rnacentral:rRNA from 1 species
ACGCUGGCGGCAGGCCUAACACAUGCAAGUCGAACGGUCUCUUCGGAAGCAGUGGCACACGGGUUAAUAACGCGUGGGAAUCUACCCAUCUCUACGGAACAACUCCGGGAAACUGGAGCUAAUACCGUAUACGCCCUUUUGGGGAAAGAUUUAUCGGGGAUGGAUGAGCCCGCGUCGGAUCAUCUAGUAGGUGGGGUAAAGGCCUACCAAGGCGACGAUCCAUAGCUGGUCUGAGAGGAUGAUCAGCCACAUUGGGACUGAGACACGGUCCAAACUCAAUACGGGAGGCAGCAGUGGGGAAUAUUGGACAAUGGGCGCAAGCCUGAUCCAGCCAUGCCGCGUGAGUGAUGAACG